GUGACAUUGCCAGGCUGGACAGUAUUUACCAUAAUCAUCUGCAGGUCACAGAUAGGAAUUCUGAUGGACAUUCUGAGACAUGAAACAGUCAAGGCAUUUGUCCAAGGUCACACAGGAAGCCUGUUGCAGAGCUAGGAAUAAAACUGCUUCCCUACUCCAUCCUUACUAAUAUCUAUCCUUUCACUAAGUCACUCUACUGCCACAAGAUGGACUGCUUUCCCGUUAAAAAACAAAAACAAGAAAAUAUCAUUUUGGCACCAGCUGACAAUAAGGGCUGCAUGUAUCUGCUUCCUCUUGCUUCUCCGUAAUCUACAGCUGUUCACUCAGGUCAAGUUUGGUGACAGUGAACAACAUUUUCUGUGAAGCAGCUGCUGCUGGAGUCCUCGCUAGCUAGCAAAUUCAGCAUAAAGUGUGUGCCAGAAGUGCUCUGAGAAUCUGUGUAUGCCACGGCACGUCCAUCUGCUAUACACAACACAUGCCAGUCUCUUCAGUAUGCACUGAGAAGACAAGUCUGAAAUGUAGGGAAGCAGAAGGAAUUAAAUACAGAAUCUAAAUAAAACAUAUUGUAUAA
rnacentral:lncRNA from 1 species